CCAAUAGCGUAUAUUAAAGUUGUUGCAGUUAAAAAGCUCGUAGUUGAACUUCGGGGUCUACCCAUUGGUCAGGCUUACUUGUCUGUACUGGUGUGAUGGAUCUCUACCUUCUGAGGAACUUUCAUGCCAUUUCUUUGGUGUGGUUGGAACUCAGGACUGUUACUUUGAAAAAAUUAGAGUGUUUAAAGCAGACUAUCGUCUGAAUACAUUAGCAUGGAAUAAUGAAAUAGGACGGACUGAUUCUAUUUCGUUGGUUUCUAGGAACACCGUAAUGAUUAAUAGGGAUAGUUGGGGGCAUUAGUAUUCAAUUGUCAGAGGUGAAAUUCUUUGAUUUAUUGUAGACUAACUACUGCGAAAGCAUUUGCCAAGGAUGUUUUCAUUAAUCAAGAACGAAAGUUAGGGGAUCGAAGACGAUCAGAUACCGUCGUAGUCUUAACCAUAAACUAUGCCGACUAGGGAUCGGACGAAGUUAAUUUUAUAAUGACUCAUUCGGCGCCUUACG
rnacentral:rRNA from 1 species